AUCAUUAUUGAGUUUGAAAGGGGUUGUAGCUGGCCCUUUUGGGGCAUGUGUGCACGCCUCGCUCAUCUCUAACACCUGUGAACUGGCUGUAGGUUGGUUUUGAAAUGGGUUCCCGUUUCUGCCUUCCUAUGUCUUUAACAAAUCCCUGUUGUAUCUGUACGUCUUUGCGCUUUUAAAACGCAUCAAUAUAACUUUCAGCAACGGAUCUCUUGGCUCUCGCAUCGAUGAAGAACGCAGCGAAAUGCGAUAAGUAAUGUGAAUUGCAGAAUUCAGUGAAUCAUCGAAUCUUUGAACGCACCUUGCGCCCCUUGGUAUUCCGAGGGGCAUGCCCGUUUGAGUGUCAUUGUAUUCUCAAAUCCCCUUGCUUUUGUGUGAGGCUUGGAUUUGGAUUUGGAGGUCUGCGGGUUACUCUUGUUGUCCGCUCCUCUUGAAUGCAUUAGCUGGAACCUUUUGCCAGACCGGCUUCGGUGUGAUAAUUAUCUGCGCCGUGGUUGUUUGUUGAGGAUCUGCUUCCAAUUGUCUUAGACAAACUGUUCUGACAUCUGACCUCAAAUCGGGUAGGACUACCCGC
rnacentral:rRNA from 1 species